rnacentral:sRNA from 1 species
CAGCCAAAUCGAACCCCACCUGGGAGAC